GAUGAACGCUGGCGGCGUGCCUAAUACAUGCAAGUCGAGCGAACGGACGAGAAGCUUGCUUCUCUGAUGUUAGCGGCGGACGGGUGAGUAACACGUGGAUAACCUACCUAUAAGACUGGGAUAACUUCGGGAAACCGUAGCUAAUACCGGAUAAUAUUUUGAACCGCAUGGUUCAAAAGUGAAAGACGGUCUUGCUGUCACUUAUAGAUGGAUCCGCGCUGCAUUAUCUAGUUGGUAAGGUAACGGCUUACCAAGGCAACGAUGCAUAGCCGACCUGAGAGGGUGAUCGGCCACACUGGAACUGAGACACGGUCCAGACUCCUACGGGAGGCAGCAGUAGGGAAUCUUCCGCAAUGGGCGAAAGCCUGACGGAGCAACGCCGCGUGAGUGAUGAAGGUCUUCGGGUCGUAAAACUCUGUUAUUAGGGAAGAACAUAUGUGUAAGUAACUGUGCACAUCUUGACGGUACCUAAUCAGAAAGCCACGGCUAACUACGUG
rnacentral:rRNA from 1 species